GGGUCGGGGUCCUGGGCCAUGAACACCAACACGUGCACCACCGUAUUCUACAUUCGUUAGCAUUUUGCCGUAUUUUCUAAGUUACACCUGUCCUAACGUCAAUUUUAGUGUUUGUGCUGCCCAAUUGAGCACUGCCCUUCUAACAUCAAACCACCUUAUCUUUUUCUAAUGCAGAUCUUAAGACCGUAGCCCCCCCCUUAUGGGGGACGGGAGACAGACACGUGGUCCCAGACCCUUAGGGGCAAGCCCUGGGGUGUUUUUCUUGUAUGUCCACACCUAUGAUAAAGUUUAUGAUAAGGACACAGUAAGAUUAACAGGAUAAUAAGACAAUAAUAUACUGUAAUAAAAGUUGUAUAAGGGGCGCCUGGGUGGCUCAGUCAGUCAGCCUGCUACUCUCGAUUCUGCUCAGGUUGUCAGAUGGGGACCCCGGAUCAGGCCCACCUGGGAGUGGAACCUGCUUAAAUUCUCCCGCUCUGCCCCUAAACCCCUCCUUCACUUGCUCACUUAAAAAAAAACCUGUGGGCGGAAAAAAAUCUGUGAAUGUGGCCUUUAUCUUUCAAAAUAUACCCAACAUUUUUAUGAGGGUGUAAGGUGAUAAAAUGCGUACCUGAUGAGGUGAAUGCCUGGGCAAUGUGACACAGCCUUAGGGCUACUAUUGUCCUGACACCGCAGAAGGAUCCCUUGUUUCUGGGACCCCGCUUGGCCACAGGUGACCCCAGGUCACUGAAAUGGAGGAAAGUGAAACGGUAGAUGAAAGGAUUAAGUUACACACUUAACUCUGGGCACGCUUGGCUGGGGCUGUGUUGGAUGUCAAUAUUCAUUUAUGGAUUUUCUUAAGGCAAGAUUUCCAUGUGGUAACUUGUAAAUCUUAAAUUCGUUGAGUUUCAUAAGUGUAUACUCUUACACUCUUGUAGCUUAUUUUAUCAGCAGCUAUAAAAUCGUAAUUAAUACAUGUCCAUCAUCACUAAAAAUCACUUUAUUCCCCGCCCUCCACCUCCCCAUCACCCAUUGUUUUUCUCACCAUCUACUGCAAUUUGACCCUCACAUUUAUUCCUUUUCUCCUUUCUGUGACUUUGAGUGAAUGCAGGAAACUGAUAGUUGAUUUAAUACGUAGGCGAGGGUGUGUGGGUGAGAUAAAGUAGUUUCAGGUGGAGAGGUGAGGCAAUGUGUCAGUACUGAAUGUUCAUCUUUUCUCAACCAGGGUUCCCACAGGAAACAAUUUGAGUGAGUAUUUUUAUCAGUUCUGAGGGUGCAACAGAGCUAGUACCAUUCUAGGUAUAGGAGUUAAGUUAUUUCAUUACAUAUAAUGGAAACCUUGGGGCAUUUGAACUUGAUUUGGGUCUGACAGCUAGUAACUCAGCUUUAGUUUUUUUUUGUUUGGGUUUUUUUUUGCCAUGAUAGUUCCUGCUUUAAAGGCUUAUUUUUCCUUUAGAGCUAUUUAUCAGUUGGGCUGCUUUUGGCUACAAAUUACAGAAGACUUGACUUAAAAUGGCUUAAACAGUAAGGUUUUUUAUUGUUUCACAUAACAAGAAGAGUGUUACCAUGUCAUGAAGUCCCCAGGCUUCUGGUUGCUAUGGCCAUAGGCAUCAUGUCUGCACAAAACCAUGUGCAGAUUGAGGAAGGUAAAGAUUAUUGAUGUGGUUUAGGGUGAUGGGGCGAUAGAGUUCGGAGUCCAUAGCCAAGAAAGAAUUCUUGAGAUGUCUUUGGUGCAAAAAGGUGCUUUUAUUAGAGUCUGGGGCAGGACCUGUGGGCAGGACAAACUGCACCGGGGUUGGGAGGGAUGACUGAUUAUAUAAGAUGUUCUGUCCUGUGGAGGGGAGGGCAAUGUGGGGGCUCUGGGAAAUUGAGUCUAUAGGUUUUUGGAGAUUGCUUUUUUUCUUGUAAAUCAUUAAGACAGUUGCCAAUUGUUGGAGACUCCUGUCCUGCAUGACUAUGCUUUCUAUCAUUUAACCAUUUGUUUCUCCCUUUCCUUUGUUCAAGGGCAGCCAGGAGGGCCUGGGGAAAUCCCACACGUCCCACCUGCUUGGGGGAUUGUUGAGGGCCAUCAGCUUGUGCUUUGAGCUCAGCUUGCCUUCUACUCCUUCAUCAUUUGUUACAUUUCUUUAUUGAGAAGGAACAUCUUUCUCUUCUGUCUCAUUGGCCAGAAUUGAGAUGUAUGCCCAGGACCUAGCUGAAAAAGUGGCUGGGAAAAAUGUUCUUUUUCAGCUUCUGUCUUGGAAAACAGGCUCUGCCAGUUGGGAUGAAAGCGGGAUAAAAGGCUGCUGCAUAGGUGGCCAUCAGUGCCAGCCGCGGUGACUUUUAUUAGCAAUUACAGACCGUCCUACAGCCUACACCCUCUCAUAUUGCAUACUGACAUCUCCACAUUGCUUUGAUGAGCUUGGGCUUGUCUAUCUUAGCUCAUGAUUGAGAGAUCGGAGCUCUGGUAUUUUGCACUACCUGUCUGAUCAAGAGUUCUGCUUUAGCAGUGUCCUCUCAUCAGAUGAAUGGCACUGUGGAGUUGUCAGGUUUGUUACCAAAUUCCAUGUUGAUACUAAUUGAAAAUGAGUAGCAAAUAGAAAAAAAUGCUGCCCAUUGGGUGUAGUGCCUGGCAUACAGGAGGUACUCAAUAAUUAUUUGUGGCAUUAAGCAAUGCUACUCAUAAAAUUAAAGCCAAAAUAGAAUUGUUUAGGUUCAAAAUAUGCAUUUUAUCUCAGGUUGGCACUCAAUGAACUUAAGCCAGUCAACUGUGUUUUGUAAUGAAGAAAAGAAAAACCUGAGAAGAGAAUGUAAAGUGAAUUAUACCUAAAUGUGAGAUACAGGGGUGAAGGAAAUAAACAGAUCUUUAAAAGUUA